GACGAACGCUGGCGGCGUGCCUAAUACAUGCAAGUCGAACGCUGAAGAGAGGAGCUUGCUCUUCUUGGAUGAGUUGCGAACGGGUGAGUAACGCGUAGGUAACCUGCCUUGUAGCGGGGGAUAACUAUUGGAAACGAUAGCUAAUACCGCAUAACAAUGGAUGACACAUGUCAUUUAUUUGAAAGGGGCAAUUGCUCCACUACAAGAUGGACCUGCGUUGUAUUAGCUAGUAGGUGAGGUAAUGGCUCACCUAGGCGACGAUACAUAGCCGACCUGAGAGGGUGAUCGGCCACACUGGGACUGAGACACGGCCCAGACUCCUACGGGAGGCAGCAGUAGGGAAUCUUCGGCAAUGGGGGCAACCCUGACCGAGCAACGCCGCGUGAGUGAAGAAGGUUUUCGGAUCGUAAAGCUCUGUUGUAAGUCAAGAACGGGUGUGAGAGUGGAAAGUUCACACUAUGACGGUAGCUUACCAGAAAGGGACGGCUAACUACGUG
rnacentral:rRNA from 1 species